rnacentral:rRNA from 1 species
AUGAAAGGUUCUAGAGAUAGAAGUUCUUGGACGACGAACACAUCUUCAUCAUCACGGGAGUUGGGACAACACACACAAGCGCAUGGCCAGGUUAUCUCUUUAUCGUCAUUUGAGGGUAGAUUUAAUCUUGCUAUUUAUCUAUCUUGGGAGCUUGAAGUAGAACAAGUUUUUAGUCACCAUGACUUUUCUGAACUUGAGCGAGCACGAGCUGCCACUAGAGCAUUUACUGGUUUUGCUUCUAUUUGGUGGAAUGUGCAUUGUAAAAAAAACAUUGAUAACCAACCCACAACUUGGAAAGAUUUCAAACAUGUAAUGAGACAACAAUUUUUCCCAACAUACUAUCGUCGUGAAUUGCUUCGCAAAUUUGAACAAUUUAAACAAGGCAACAACAUUGUUCAUGCUUACUACCAAGAGUUCAAAUCUUAUAUGCAUCAUUGUGACAUAGAAGAAUCUGAGGAUGAUACAAUGCAUAGAUUUUUUGGUGGUUUGAACCAUGAUAUUCAGGCAAGAUUUCAGUAUAUUCCUCGUUGCAUUACUGGUAUGUAUGUUCGUGCUUGUACCUUUGAGAGACAGUUACAGGAGGAUGCACUGGGUAACUACAACAACUACUAUUCCAAUUCAUGCUCACUACCAUCGGUUGAUUCCUCCACCAUUGCACCUACUAGAGCAGCCACACCUCAAAUUGUGAGUGCGACAUCAUCUCAAGUGUAUGGUACAUUGUCAUUGUCCAUACCUACAUCAACUACGUCUUUGCGACAAGGUAACAGUAAAGGUAUUGAUGAUAUAACUUCACAUGAGAAUGAUGCACCCCUAAUUAACUUAAAUACAUCAUGUGUUGAGUUACCUGUUGAUUUGAGCACACCACCUAUUUUAGAGAAUUAUGUUACUAUCAUGAAUGCAUCAUGUGAUCAAACAAAUGAAAUACCAACAAUUUUGAGUGCGCCCAUUGAAUUAACUGUUGAUGUCAAAGGACCAUGUGAAUCAGGAAAUAAAUCAGAUUUUGAUCAAAUACAUUUUAAAAUAAUUGUGCCAAUGUUUAAUCAUUUUGAUGAACAUUGUCAAUCUUUUGAAAUGAAUAAGAGCUUCACUUAUAUGUGCAAACUGAGUUGCAAUAUUUUCAUGCCUUCUACUUCUUGUGAUAAUGUUAUGGCUUUAGAUUUUAUGAACUAUGCAAGCUACUCAUCUAUUCAUGUGUCAUAUGUGCAAAAAGCAAGGGAAGUAAAAAUGGAUGACAUAUACAUAUACAACAUGUACACCUUGUCUCUUUUGUUAGCCACAUUUCAGAUUAAGCAACGCCGAGGACGGCUUUGUUUUCAAGAAGAUGAUGAGGACAUGACUACCUUGGAUACGACCAAAAAUAUUGCAUACAUGUAUAUUUGUGAGGUGAUUUCUAAUGCAAAUUAUGCAAUAAUUUAUUUAUGUCAUCCAGGACAAAAAUACUUCACAAACUUUUGUGCCAUAUCUAAUUGUAGGUGUAUGGGACAUUUGUACAAUCCACAUAUGAAGAUAAGGGAGAAAGAGAUGUUUACUUGCUGUUCAAAAAGUUCUCUCACGUCACUUUUGGCCCAAGAGAAGAUAGAGUCCAAGUCUCUCACAAUGUGGACUCAGAUUCGGACUGCAUAG